UACGGAGGGUGCAAGCGUUAUCCGGAUUUACUGGGUUUAAAGGGUGUGUAGGCGGACAUUUAAGUCAGGGGUGAAAUCCCGAGGCUCAACCUCGGAACUGCCUUUGAUACUACUUGUCUUGAAUGUUGUUGAGGUGGGCGGAACGGGUCAUGUAGCGGUGAAAUGCAUAGAUAUGACCCGGAACACCGAUUGCGAAGGCAGCCCGCUAAGCAACUAUUGACGCUGAGGCACGAAAGCGUGGGGAUCAAACAGG
rnacentral:rRNA from 1 species